rnacentral:rRNA from 1 species
CGAGCGAGCUUGCCUAGAUGAAUUUGGUGCUUGCACCAGAUGAAACUAGAUACAAGCGAGCGGCGGACGGGUGAGUAACACGUGGGUAACCUGCCCAAGAGACUGGGAUAACACCUGGAAACAGAUGCUAAUACCGGAUAACAACACUAGACGCAUGUCUAGAGUUUAAAAGAUGGUUCUGCUAUCACUCUUGGAUGGACCUGCGGUGCAUUAGCUAGUUGGUAAGGUAACGGCUUACCAAGGCAAUGAUGCAUAGCCGAGUUGAGAGACUGAUCGGCCACAUUGGGACUGAGACACGGCCCAAACUCCUACGGGAGGCAGCAGUAGGGAAUCUUCCACAAUGGACGCAAGUCUGAUGGAGCAACGCCGCGUGAGUGAAGAAGGGUUUCGGCUCGUAAAGCUCUGUUGGUAGUGAAGAAAGAUAGAGGUAGUAACUGGCCUUUAUUUGACGGUAAUUACUUAGAAAGUCACGGCUAACUACGUGCCAGCAGCCGCGGUAAUACGUAGGUGGCAAGCGUUGUCAGGAUUUAUUGGGCGUAAAGCGAGUGCAGGCGGUUCAAUAAGUCUGAUGUGAAAGCCUUCGGCUCAACCGGAGAAUUGCAUCAGAAACUGUUGAACUUGAGUGCAGAAGAGGAGAGUGGAACUCCAUGUGUAGCGGUGGAAUGCGUAGAUAUAUGGAAGAACACCAGUGGCGAAGGCGGCUCUCUGGUCUGCAACUG